rnacentral:rRNA from 1 species
GAUGAACGCUGGCGGCGUGCCUAAUACAUGCAAGUCGAGCGAACAGACGAGGAGCUUGCUCCUCUGACGUUAGCGGCGGACGGGUGAGUAACACGUGGAUAACCUACCUAUAAGACUGGGAUAACUUCGGGAAACCGGAGCUAAUACCGGAUAAUAUAUUGAACCGCAUGGUUCAAUAGUGAAAGACGGUUUUGCUGUCACUUAUAGAUGGAUCCGCGCCGCAUUAGCUAGUUGGUAAGGUAACGGCUUACCAAGGCAACGAUGCGUAGCCGACCUGAGAGGGUGAUCGGCCACACUGGAACUGAGACACGGUCCAGACUCCUACGGGAGGCAGCAGUAGGGAAUCUUCCGCAAUGGGCGAAAGCUUGACGGAGCAACGCCGCGUGAGUGAUGAAGGUCUUCGGAUCGUAAAACUCUGUUAUUAGGGAAGAACAAAUGUGUAAGUAACUAUGCACGUCUUGACGGUACCUAAUCAGAAGCCACGGCUAACUACGUG